CCUACGGGAGGCAGCAGUGGGGAAUUUUGGACAAUGGGCGAAAGCCUGAUCCAGCCAUGCCGCGUGAGUGAAGAAGGCCUUCGGGUUGUAAAGCUCUUUCAGCCGGAAAGAAAUCGCGCAGGCUAAUACUCUGCGUGGAUGACGGUACCGGAAGAAGAAGCACCGGCUAACUACGUGCCAGCAGCCGCGGUAAUACGUAGGGUGCGAGCGUUAAUCGGAAUUACUGGGCGUAAAGCGUGCGCAGGCGGUUAUAUAAGACAGAUGUGAAAUCCCCGGGCUCAACCUGGGAACUGCGUUUGUGACUGUAUGACUAGAGUACGGCAGAGGGAGGUGGAAUUCCGCGUGUAGCAGUGAAAUGCGUAGAUAUGCGGAGGAACACCGAUGGCGAAGGCAGCCUCCUGGGCCAGUACUGACGCUCAUGCACGAAAGCGUGGGGAGCAAACAGGAUUAGAUACCCUGGUAGUCCACGCCCUAAACGAUGUCAACUAGUUGUUCGGUGAGGAGACUCAUUGAGUAACGNAGCUAACGCGUGAAGUUGACCGCCUUGGGGAGUUACGGCCGNAAGGUUAAAACUUAAGGAAUUGACGGCUUGAGAGNGCGAGCGACACGAGGAGGAGG
rnacentral:rRNA from 1 species